rnacentral:rRNA from 1 species
AUUGAACGCUGGCGGCAGGCUUAACACAUGCAAGUCGAGCGGGGUGAUGGUGCUUGCACUAUCACUUAGCGGCGGACGGGCGAGUAAUGCUUAGGAAUCUGCCUAUUAGUGGGGGACAACAUCUCGAAAGGGAUGCUAAUACCGCAUACGUCCUACGAGAGAAAGCAGGGGAGCACUUGUGACCUUGCGCUAAUAGAUGAGCCUAAGUCGGAUUAGCGAGUUGGUGGGGUAAAGGCCUACCAAGGCGACGAUCUGUAGCGGGUCUGAGAGGAUGAUCCGCCACACUGGGACUGAGACACGGCCCAGACUCCUACGGGAGGCAGCAGUGGGGAAUAUUGGACAAUGGGGGGAACCCUGAUCCAGCCAUGCCGCGUGUGUGAAGAAGGCCUUAUGGUUGUAAAGCACUUUAAGCGAGGAGGAGGCUCUUUUGGUUAAUACCCAAGAUGAGUGGACGUUACUCGCAGAAUAAGCACCGGCUAACUCUGUGCCAGCCGCCGCCGUAA